GAUGAACGCUGGCGGCGUGCUUAACACAUGCAAGUCGAACGAGAAGUGAAGACGGAAACCUUCGGGCGGAAGGCUUUAUUUCGAGUGGCGGACAGGUGAGUAACGCGUGGGUAACCUGCCUCAUACAGGGGGAUAACAGUUGGAAACGACUGUUAAUACCGCAUAAGACCACAGCACCGCAUGGUGCGGGGGUAAAAACUCCGGUGGUAUGAGAUGGACCCGCGUUCGAUUAGCCAGUUGGCGGGGUAACGGCCCACCAAAGCGACGAUCGAUAGCCGAUCUGAGAGCAUGACCGGCCACAUUGGGACUGAGACACGGCCCAGACUCCUACGGGAGGCAGCGGUGGGGAAUAUUACACAAUGGAGGAAACCCUGAUGAAGCGACGCCGCGUGAGUGAAGAAGUAUUUCGGUAUGUAAAGCUCUAUCAGCAGGGAAGAAAAUGACGGUACCUGAGUAAGAAGCCCCGGCUAACUACGUG
rnacentral:rRNA from 1 species